CUGAAUGGGGCAACCCACCUGACUGUUUGUUAUUGUUAGCUCUGCUAUCAAUAAUGAGCAUAAACAGGUACUUAUUACCUGAAUACAUAGGGUUUUAAGAGCAAACCCGGGGAACUGAAACAUCUAAGUACCCGGAGGAAAGGACAUCAAUUGAUACUCCCCUAGUAGCGGCGAGCGAACGGGGACCAGCCGAGCCAUAAUUGCGACCAGAACAUUCUGGAAAGGAUGACCAUAGUGGGUGACAGUCCCGUAUGGGAAGCAUGAUUGGACGUAUUAAGUAGGGCGGAACACGUGAAAUUCUGUCUGAAGAUCGGAGGACCACCUCCGAAGGCUAAGUACUCCUUACUGACCGA
rnacentral:rRNA from 1 species